UGAAGGGUGAGCAAGCAGACUGCAGA
rnacentral:piRNA from 1 species